rnacentral:rRNA from 1 species
UACGUAGGGGGCAAGCGUUGUCCGGAAUCAUUGGGCGUAAAGAGCGUGUAGGCGGCCAUACAGGUCAGCUGUGAAAACUCGAGGCUCAACCUCGAGACGUCGGUUGAAACCGUAUGGCUAGAGUCCGGAAGAGGAGAGUGGAAUUCCCGGUGUAGCGGUGAAAUGCGCAGAUAUCGGGAAGAACACCUAUGGCGAAGGCAGCUCUCUGGGACGGUACUGACGCUGAGACGCGAAAGCGUGGGGAGCAAACAGG